rnacentral:rRNA from 1 species
GACGGAGGGUGCAGGCGUUGUUCGGAUUUACUGGGCGUAAAGGGCGCGUAGGCGGCCAGCACAAGUCAGUUGUGAAAUCUCCGGGCUUAACUCGGAAAGGUCAACUGAUACUGUGCGGCUAGAGUGCAGAAGGGGCAACUGGAAUUCUCGGUGUAGCGGUGAAAUGCGUAGAUAUCGAGAGGAACACCUGCGGCGAAGGCGGGUUGCUGGGCUGACACUGACGCUGAUGCGCGAAAGCCAGGGGAGCGAACGGG